UGCAAUGCUUCUCAAAUAAUAUAUAGGGGAUAUACUUACAACUACGAUUUGAGAUACUAGUUUUCGUAAACUAUAAAUAUUUUAGAAAUUCAACUUUUGUAUUGUCCGAAGCAAUAUUUUAUGUAUUAUAGUCGUUGUCUUUGUCGUCGUAUGUUCGUCCUCUACUCGUUAGAUCAAGUAGCCAUGGCCGAUUCGUUUUCGUCAAUUUUCACACCUACAAAGCCACUAUCAUCAUCACACUAGCUAGAUUGGCCAACUCCACCUCCUUAUUAUUAUUAUUUUAGUACAUAGAGCAUCCAAUAAGGAUCUCGAAACCGUCGAAAACAUUAGGAGCAAAAGCCAAAGAGCAAAUCGAUUAUUUGGUUGACAAUAAUCCUUCUGACGCAUGAAGCUUUUCCUUUACUCUUUUUAAAUUUGGAUAUCGUAUCAAGCCCACGAUGCAUAUCUUAUCGCCAUUCCUUUCUUCGACUUUACUCCUAUCCAAUCAUGCACAUGUAACAUAUGUAUCCGUCAUCCAUGUGCCACUUUAACAAUCACAUGUCCCGUAUUGUUAAAUCAACUGGAUUUAGUUAGAAAAGAAAACUAUAAUAACCAAGCUAGGUUAUCCGAUUAGGACGACGUUUAUAUAUGUAUAUCUGGGAAGAUUCGAUAUACACUUCAUAAAAUCAUUUAGGUACGAUGUUAGUACUUAGUGAUAUAUCAUAUAUGUUGCAACUUACAUGUAUGGAACUUUGUUAGAUAUAUAAAUAAAACGUUCUGUUAAAGUCUCUUUUUCGUUUAAAUCUGAGCGUACUAAAAGUCUAAAAUGAUAUAUAGGAUGAUUGCAAAGCUAAUAAAUAAUUGUCGACAUAAAAUAUGAUUUUACUACCAUCGUCCACUUUGGUAGUGACCUUUGGUUCCACAUCCACUAUGAAAUGUGAAUAUGAUCCCCAAGACAAAAUCAUUGAGCCAUUUUAUAAUAUAUACACACUACCAGUCUACCAUAUAAAUAUUCCAAUCGUAGAUAAUGGUAAAAUACCCAGUCUGCAAAAAAGUAUGUCUAACUUUUCUGUUUUCUUGCAGAAUUUUCAAAAGAAUCAGUUAUAUAAUCAAUUUAAACUAAACCACGCCUGUUAUUGUGAUUAUGAUUUGACUUCGGUGCCAUAUGACAAAUGACAAAUUCCUAAGCCACUACAAAUUGCUUUUGAAAUAUUUUAAUUCUAUAAUGAACCAAAAGUUUGUUUAUUAUAUUGCUUACAGCUUUAGAGGUUGAUACAUAAGUAAGUUUUGAGUAUUUUGUUUGGGCUUCAUAGCGCAAGCUGAUGAAGUACAAUCCAAAGGGGAAGUCGUCUUGAUUCCACUUGAGUUUUCGCAGCAUUGAUUUAGUUGUUAACAAAGAGAUAUCAUAGUAAGGCUCAUUCAUCCAAAAACGACGUCUACAAAUAAAUUAGUAACCAAAACCUCAAUGCCUAUUUCCGACUCUUUAAUGAGUGAACGAUACUUUCCAUAAAUUUUGCUUUAGGCUACUUCGGUUUAGCUUCUAAACUUAAUUGUGAAAGUUUAACAUUAUUAUAAAGUAAAGUAACAUAUCUUUUUGAAAAAUUAAUAGAUCUAUUUUACCAAAAAAAAUUAAUAGAUCUAAGUAUGAAAAUAUAGAGCAUCUUUAACGCUGCCUUUUAAUGAGGCUUUUUAUUAAAAAAAAAUAAACAAAUGAAAAAAGGCGAAGACGCGCCUCUUGUGGAAGGCCGGGAAGGGGCGCCUUUUGCUUGCCAGGUGUCACUGAAUUAGAGGGUGAAGCAUUGGUUACGCGUUAAACGCGAAAAAUCUCUCUCUCUCUCUCUCUCUCUCAAUCUGUCUCUCGGUGGGUCUUCUCCUCGAAGCUUUCCCUCAGUGCCUCACCUCAAAUCCAAAGACGAAGAAAAGAUCAGCAGAGGAGUACAUUUGGUGGAACAAUACAUAUUGAAGGAUCAAGCUUCAGCGAGCAAAGGGUGAUUGAGCAAACGUUCAACGAGCAAAGCCAGCUGUAGCAUCAACAAAAAUCACUAUGACAAAAGCAAACUGAACGGAUCUUGAAAACUAAAUCUGACGCCAACAAGUUGACGGAGACACAAUUAGCGGAAGUCGCUAAUGCAGCUACCUUUUUCAGAGUCAGAUUUAUUAUUUAUUUUUGCCGCAGCGACUGGGAAAACAAAUCGGUUUUGUCCCGCCAGCACUGUAUUUUUUUUUGUCAUUGAUGAUUCAGAAAUGUUGCAUCCAAAGGGAUGUGAUAAUAAGCAAAAUAAAAAACCAAAAACAAAGUGGAAGCCAGUAGGCCCCAAAAAGUAAACCCAAACUGUUGGGAAAAUAAGAAAUCAUAGAGCAGGUUUCCAAACUCAGAA